rnacentral:rRNA from 1 species
UACGAAGGGGGCUAGCGUUGCUCGGAAUCACUGGGCGUAAAGCGCACGUAGGCGGAUCAUUAAGUCGGGGGUGAAAUCCUGGAGCUCAACUCCAGAACUGCCUUCGAUACUGAAGAUCUCGAGUCCGGGAGAGGUGAGUGGAACUCCGAGUGUAGAGGUGAAAUUCGUAGAUAUUCGGAAGAACACCAGUGGCGAAGGCGGCUCACUGGCCCGGUACUAACGCUGAGGCACGAAGGCCAGGGGAGCAAACGGG